CGUUUGCACCUUAGCCCAGCAUCAGCACCUUCCCGCCAGAGGCCUCCCCCUUUAUGCUCUGGCCAGGAGAACCUGACCACUGCCCAUCCGGGAACACCCCACUCCCCGCCAUGCCCUGUGAGCACAUGUUCUUGUCUGGUUUGGAAGAGGAAAGCCAGAGCCCCACUCACGGGUUCCAUCCCAGGUCGGCUGGGUUGAUGUAGAGGAUGCCGGCUCUGGAGACGGUGGCUGGGGUGGCCGUCCUCAGGUGGCUGAUUUCGAACACCAGCCUCAUGGUGCGGUUCAGUGGGAUCCGCUCAUUGCUGGCCAGGGCCUUUACCCUGAACCCAUCCUGCUGCUAAAUGUAAGGUGAGGUGCAUGCAGAACCACAGCACAUGUGACAAAGUCC